rnacentral:rRNA from 1 species
ACAACUUUGGACACCGGACCUCUGGGCUCUCGCAACGAUGAAAAACGCAGCGAAAUGCGAUACGUAAGGUGAAUUGCAAACCUUUGUGAAUCAUUAAAUCUUUGAACGCCCAUGGCACUCGUAAAAAAGUAUACUUGUUUGAAAAUUAUAA